CCUACAACCUGAGAAUCAAACCCCUUCUGUUUCUCCAAGGUUGGGUAACCCAGGGCCGGGUGAUUCACACAGGACGGCUCAGGCUAGGUUUGUUCAAGGUAGCAGACACAGCAGGACACCGACAGCAGUCAGAGCCAGGGGACCAGUGCCCUCAAGGACUGGGAGCACCUUCCAGGUCUUCAAGCUCUCCCACCCUGGGACAUGCUGCCUCCUUUCCUAAUAUUAGCGGUGACAAGACCAUCUUCGGGUAGACUGAGGAGCCUACACUGUGCCCCUGACGCUGGGCAGCACAGAGCCCACCUGUUGAAUGGGGAGAGCAUGCACAAAUUCACUUCUAUAGAGUCCAGCAAUCAACCACAGCCAUUCUGUGUGCAACAAAGAGGACCUCAGAGUCGGACCAGGAGGAGUUGUGCAUGGUAGUCUGAGAGGCCUCCCACCCUGCUCUGCCCUGCAUCAUGGAUUCUGGCCCCAGCAGGCUCUGAGCCCACAGCUAUGGUGUUCCUGGCCUCUCUCUGUUGUGACCAAUGGGAAGCCUGGCAAAGGUGGAGGAGCCGGGGACUGGAACCUCCUCUUCUGAUGUGUGGGGGCGCUUGACAGAAACAAGCGAAGGGAGGAAGGACCAAUCGUUUUCCAGCAUGCAUCCUCACGGGGAAGGCCAGGUGGAGCAGGAGGUGAGGCAAGUCUUCCCUUGUGGCAAUAAAUCAGGAGCAGAGAGCGCCAGGUCGGAACUAGAGGUAGGUAGAGCCUUAAAGUUUCUCUUCCAAUGACCCCCCUCCACCAGUUAGGUCCCACCCAAAGCAGCCUCCUGAAACAGCACCAACUGGGAACCAAGUGUCCAGACAUGAUCCUGUCAGUCCUUUACAGGGGCUGACAACUGUCUCUGCCCUGGAGAAUUUUGGAUGCCUUUCAGGAGACUUAGAACUUCCUGCUAGGAAACACUGUCAGUGGUAGGUAGCAGGGUCUGUACCAGGUCCUGAUGCUGGACUGAAGUGUGUCCUAGGGAAUAGCUAGAUGUUUGAUUGAACCAUCUGGAUCACAGAGUAAGGAAGUAGUUCCUUUUAAAAUCAUUUUCUGAUCCCUCUGGAAAUAAUUCGAGUUUUCUUUUGCUCCUAGUAGACCUUGAAUAUGUUCUUAACACCUGGAGUCUCCAAGUUCAAGCCAGAGACAGCGGGUCACAAAUGUGUGGAGCUCGACAGCAUGGCUCUGUUUACAUGAGUUCAUUUUUACAGCCAGAUUCUACUCAGGGUGAACACUACCAGUAUUGCAUUUCAGGAGGCGAUAAAAAGUUCCUUAAACAAUGAAUUCAUUUAAGUGGGAAAAAAAAAUAGAUUGACUUAAGAAAACAUAGAAGUUAGCCAAUGCAGAGUUUGGAGGUGCUUAGAUGACCCGAGUUUGGGGGAUCUUUCUGUCGUUCUCUCAACCUAGCUGUCCGAAUCUGGGCAAAACACAGCAAAGACGAUUUCGGCCUUGAGGAGAGCAUGCUUCUCAGCCAAGUUCAACAGGAAUAAUAUGACAAGCCACAAUUAAAGAACAAGUAAUUUGUUACAGAUGCAAAUUCCGUAAAAGUUCAAAGAGGCGUGGGCUGGGGUGUUAGGCGAGGAAGAGGCCGAGGAGGCCGCUGCAGAAUGCCUGGCGGUGGACACAGGUGCAAGGGGGGGAAGGACCGCACCCUCCCCAGGCACGGGAGUGAGAGCUGCCGUGGUGAGAGUGGGUUUUGAGUUUCCGGGGUAGAAAUCCAGGCUGGGUCAGUGAACUUGGGGCCGAAGAACACGAAGACAAAUUGAGGGCAGGGAAUGGGGGUUCUGCGUCACUGGCUCCACAGGACGCAGGAACCCCUCCAGAGUUACUUUUGGCAGCAGCAUGGACGCGGGGUCUGUGGCUAAGCCCCUUUCAGAGGAGGACAGAGCAGCUGGAGGGUGAAGCCAUUCUCGCCAGGAGAGAGAGCAAGGGCCAGGGCCAGGAAGGGGUCAUGAGGGACACAUUUGCCUCCGGAAGGACAGCCCCAAAGGCCAAAGCGAUGGAUACUCCGCAUGGGAAAGGACCAGUGUGUAUGGGGCUCCAGACCAAAGACAUCACACACAGCCGCCAGAUGCCUGAGUCCCCUCAACUGAGACACAGAGAGAGGUGCUCCUAUUCCAGUCAUGGAGCUGGACUCCACAUCCACAGAAAGUUUCCUUUUCUAGCUUUGUGUUUCUAACCUUUAAUGACACACAAUUAGAGGAAAGUGUGCUUUUUAAAUGUAUUUGUGCCCCGUGAAAUGAGCAAAUCGGGCUCUUUCACACAUCCAUCACCUCAAACAUUUAUUAUUGUUUUCUAGUGACAACAUCCGAACCUCACUGUUUGAGCUAUACAGUCAACGAUUACUACAAUAGAUUUAUUCCUCUUUGGCGGGACCCCUUUAUGCAGUGGCCGACUUUCUCCCAUCCCUGCACGGCCUCUGGUAGCCACGAAGCUUCUCUGUACUUCUACGAGAUCAGCAUUUUCAGAUUCCACAAAUGCAUUCGAUUGUGCAGUAUUGGUUCUUUUGUGAAUGUGUUCCUGCCUCCAAUAUAACAAUCUCCAGGUGGGAUUCCGCUGACUUUUUUUGUAUUAGUUUU